rnacentral:lncRNA from 1 species
UUUUUUUUUUUCCCCCCGCUUUGGUGAACUCGCAGUACUUGGGCUGAGCCCGAAAUCUCGCGAGAUGCUGCAGGCGUCAGUGCGGCUUCCCACUAGGCGCGUGGUACCCGAGGCCGGGCCGGAGCCGCAGGCCAGCCGCGAUUCCUUCGGGCGAUGCUGGGGGCUUUCCGGUCGGGGCCGCAGCCGCUUCCGGAGCCGCGGGCGAGGUGCGUUCCCCAGCCUGGUUUGCUCUGGGCUCUGACCCGCCGCCGCGAAUCUCCGCUCGUAACUCCGGGCCUGAACCUGGAGGAGGGAGGAUUUCCUCUGUGCAGCUUUCGAGCGGUAGACUCACCCUGCCAGGCAGACCUAGAUUGGCAUAACCAGAGAUCAGUUCCAGUUGUGAUGCAGUGGGUGUCUACACACUUCUGAUGACACCUUUAUUUUAAAAGCUGAUGUUCCAAGGUGCAAGCGGUCUUCUCUGUCUUCUUUAUGGCCAGUAAAAUUCUCCAGAAGAGAUUUAUGGCAGCCUCACUCCCAGUAGUUUCUGCAUUUAGUGAGAUAAGGAAUGGAUUUUCUUCUGUGUAUUGCUGACACGAACAGGAGACGGAAAUACUGAGUAGAAGAGGGCGGUUCCCUGGCUAAGGCCCCACCCUCAAGCCUGGAUACCCGCGGCCCUAAAUGAGAAGAGGCGUUUCUGUUUGGGGCCCAAAAAGUUGCUUUUUGACCCACCACGCCCCCUAUCCUGCCCCCAUAUAAACCCCAAACCCCAACCUCCAGAGCAUACCAGCAGGUGAGGAGAUACGAGGCAAGCCGACUGACGGCAAAACGACGUAGCAGAGAAAGAGAGAAGAGGAGGGACGUCUGGACACCGAGAGAUGUUUGGCUCGGGGCAGUCAGAGCGGAGUCCAGCCCCUGGGCGGCCCAACUCCAGGGGAAGAUCACCUUCCCACUUCAUCCAUCCCCACCCUUCCAGCUCCCCAUCCAUCCUGCUGAAAGCCAUUUCCACCACUCAAUAAAACCUCGCAUUCAUCCUUCAAGUCCGUGUGUGACCCGAUUUUUCCUGGAUUCUGGAAAAGAGCUCGGAAUACAGAAAGCUGUCCCCUGGUCCUUUGCCCUUGUGAAAAAGCAGAAGGUCCAUUGAGCUGGUUAACACUCCAGCUGUCUGUGGUGGCCAAGCUGAAAGAGCUUUGUAACACUGGGGUUGCAGGCACCCACCUCUAGACGCUACCGCAGAGCCAGAGCCCAAAGCCCUCACCCCGGCCUCUGCACUUGCCCAUCUGCGUGCUCCCCCUCUCGCAAGGGGUUUCUGCAGAGGGGGCUACUGAACAGGUGAGCCACACCCCUGUCGCACGCCCUGCAAGGGGAAUCAGGGAACUCUUCCGUUUCAUUGCUUUGACCACAUCCUAUAAAUCUUGUUCUCCUUGUCUUUCAGCUCCAAUUUGUUUAUACAUUCAGUUUUUACUUUUGACUUUACUCAUGAUUUAUUAUAGAAAGAUGUUUAACAAUUUUCAAGCAAAUGGAAUAAUUUUUGCUCCUCUUUCGUUGUUAAUUUAUUAUUCAUUGGAGUUAGAAAAUUGUUGCUAAAAUAAAUUCUGCAUUUUGAAAUUU